rnacentral:rRNA from 1 species
CUACGGGAGGCAGCAGUAGGGAAUUUUCCACAAUGGACGAAAGUCUGAUGCAGCGACGCCGCGUGGGCGAAGAAGGUUUUCGGAUCGUAAAGCCCUUUUCUAGGUGACGAGAAAGGACGGUAGCCUAGGAAUAAGUGUCGGCUAACUACGUGCCAGCAGCCGCGGUAAAACGUAGGACGCAAACGUUAUCCGGAGUUACUGGGCGUAAAGCGCGAGCAGGCGGUUGGAUGAGUUACCUAUGAAAGCUCCCGGCUAAACUGGGAGAGGAUAGGUGAUACUGUUUAACUAGAGUGAGAUAGAGGCAAGUAGAAUUCCGGGUGUAGUGGUGAAAUGCGUAGAUAUCCGGAGGAAUACCAGUGGCGAAGGCGGCUUGCUGGAUCUCAACUGACGCUGAGACGCGAUAGCGUGGGGAGCAAACAGGAUUAGAAACCCUGGUAGUCC